rnacentral:misc_RNA from 1 species
GUAUUGAUUGCGUGUUAUCGCAAAAAUGGGGGUCAUUCUACACUUUUAAAAUAGGGGUUUGUGUGAAAACGCAAGCCCCCCUCCCGGAUCGGUUUGAUCCCAAAGGGUUGCCCACGCGGUGGUGCACAAAAGGGUGAGAUGGAUUUUAUGUGAGAGGACGCACUCCGGCGUGCACGACUUUUGUGUCAAAAAGUCAGCGACAGCCCUCGCACGCCUCACACAUGUUUGUACGAUAAUGAUCCUUCCGCAGGUUCACCUACGGAAA